ensembl:rRNA 5S_rRNA 5S ribosomal RNA
AUCUAUGGCCAUACUACCCUGAAAAUGCCCGAUAUUGUCUGAUUUCAGAAGCUAAGCAGGGUCAGGCCUGGUUAAUACUUGGAUGGGAGACCGCUUGGGAAUACCAGGUGCUGUAGGCU